AUGCAGCAAAAUCGAAUUUGGCUUCCAUAUCUAUCUCACUUGCCCAUCAAGAGAGAAACAACGAAAACCGUUGUUGAAGCACAAGAGGGAUGCAAUUCCUACUCCAAACGGGCAUGGAUUCGACCUUCAUAUCAUCCUCUUCGUCGGCAUCGAUUACACCAUCACUGCUUUCAAUUCUCACAAAGAGAAAUUGCUACAAAAAAAGGAAUUAUAUCGAACACCUGGUGGGUAUGUCCAAGCAUAGAGCUAAUAAACAUAAACUAAAUCAGUGAAAGCUACGGGAAGUGAAAGUUUUUGUGAUGAUUUACAAUUACCCAUUGAGCAAGAGAGCCAUGUAUAGUGAAGACAUAUCAACCAAACAAGCUCAUAAACUGAACUAGAUAUAGAUAAAAGGAACCCGGGCAGAGCCGGUGUAAAGACUAGGAUAUGCAAAUCUAUCUUUCAAAACUGAAAAAAUUGAGCAUAAUAGAAAAAAAAAAACAUAGAAAAUGGAAAAGUAAAAAUCUUUUUGAGAAGCCAUCGUGUUUUAUCAGUUGUAGAGCUCUGCAAGGUGAGGUUGCCAUUUCGAGACGGCAUCAUAUUGUCCUCAUUUUGUACAUCAUCAUCAGACCAAAGGCUAGCAGGUUGAACAUGUUUGUUGUCUGUCUUCUUCAAGCUAGAUCUAAAGAGCAGCUAGCCUUGUUGGAUCUUUGCAGGAAUUCCAUUACCAAAUUAGAAAACUCGGAAGAUUUAUCUUUCAGCAGUUUGGCAGGAGAAUCAUAUUCAACAACUUUCCCUGCAUUGACCAAAAUGUCCAUAGUAACAAUAUUAGGCAUUAUCCAAUCACUUAGAAGAAGUUUCUUGCUUUUGGUUAGGAUUGCUAAUUAGUCUUUUAAGAUCUUGAAAUUGCUAUAUGCACUUUUUUUUAUAUAUUUAUUUUUAUUUUUUAAAUAACUACUUUGUAUGCACUAAAAGAACUAUUUUGUUUAGUAUUUUAAUGUGUCCUUGGUUUUAUAUACUCUGUUUACUCCAUAGUGCUGCUGGGUUUGAAUCCUUACCAUCACCAAGGACUAGAACAAGGUCAUUGUCAAUAACUGUGGGUAUUCGAUGUGCCACUGUUAUGACUGUGCAUCCGCUUGUUUCUUCUCUUAUUGUCUUCUGAAUCUGAUUGUCUGUUGCUGUAUCAACUGAAGCAGUAGCCUCAUCAAGUACUAAUAUUCUCCUCUUUUGUAGUAACACCCUAGCUAAGCACACAAGUUGCCUUUGUCCUACACUCCAAUUUUCUCCAUCUUCCGCAACUGUACCGUUUUCAGAGUUUCAGUAAUUAAUUUACUGAAUCUAAACAUGCCUUUUCUUUCAUAUUCAUGUUUAUUAAUUUCUUAUAAUGCGUACCUGGUGCAUCGAGGAACCUCUGGUCCUGCUGUAGUAUCUCAGCAAGAUUACACUUAUGCAAAACCUAGAUACCAGGUCAAGUUAGUCAAGAUCAAGAUUAAUUGUCACAUGCUUCAAAUAUCAAGUCAGAUAAUGUUUACCUCCCAAAUAUCCUCGUCAGAGUGCUGCUCUAGGGGAUCAAGGUUUGUCCUCACAGUUCCCUGGAACAUAGUUGGAUCUUGAGGUAUUAUACUCAACCUAGACCUCAGAUCUUGCAAACCUAUCUUUGAAAUAUCUACGUCAUCUAUCAGAAGGCAUCCCUCUGCUGGUUCUACUACCCUGAAGAGAGUGUGGAUCAGCGUAGACUUCCCGCUUCCUGUUCUUCCCACAACACCAAUUUUCUUUCCCUCAGGAAAAGUGCAGGAAGAGGACAUGAUGCACUUACUGGGGUCAAUGGCUGAUCUUGGAAGGUUCACCAGUAUGAUAAGAAGAAAUAGAAAACCAAGGUUGAAGAGGAAGUUUAUUCGGACACUGAGCCAUUCCAUUGUGGCAGAGUUGUAAAAUGCAACUCGAGAGUAGCAAUCAAGGAGGCUCAGAUUCUUCUUCAACAAUCUGUCUUCCUGAUUGAAGCAACGAAUUGUUACUACCCCACUGAUUGAUUCUGAAAAGUGAUGUUGAACUGGAGCUUUCUGAGUGCCAACCAUCCUAGCAAGUUCUCUAGCAGUGGUUCUUGUAAUCUUAGAGGAGACUGUUUUUACCUGAUACCAUAUGGAGAUGGCAAUUAUGAUGAGGAAGAUGAAAAAGACUGGCCAGGCAGCCUGGGACAUAAGAACUAUGAUACUUAGUAAUUGAAUAAGUGCAAAUACUAGCCCUGCCAAUCUAUAUGGAAUAUCUGUAUCCACCGUGCUUUGAUCUGUGGAGGACUGAAAGGGAAGAAGAGAUAAGUUAGAAUUUGAUAUGAACUUGUGAUAUUAAAAGAAAUGCACUAAAAGAGAUUUUGUGUAGUUGUGUAUGUACGAACCCGAUUGAGAAUUCUGCUUGAAGGUGUGGAGUCAAAGAAUGACAAAGGUGCUCGAAAGACUGAUUUGGCCAUCUGAACAAAGAGCUGCUGAGCAGUCUCAAUUGCAAUGGUCGAAAGCAAAACUGCCCUUCCCAAGAUAAAGAUGGAGCUUCCCCCAGAUAACAAUACAAAUAUCCUGAGCAAUUUCGCUCUGGGCAUCCUGCCUUCUGUUUCUGUUCCCCAUGUAAUCCAGUAAUUGCUUGCAAUUUGCAGCCCUUGGAAGAGGAUGUGGCACAGAAGGACAGGGGCAACAAGAUAUCCUUUAUAUGCAGCAGUGAGAAAUAUGGAGUAUACUUUCCAUUUAACUCUUCCAGUUUCUGUCUCUUCCUGAUUUCUCUCAAACAGCUGAUCACUGCCGAGUUGCAGAUUUUACUUGCCUUGAAGAUCUGAGCCCCGGUUUUUGCAUCAACAGCACUGAAAGGAUCGUCUAGCAAAUAGAUGUCUGAGUCACUGUAAAUUGCCCUUGCCAGCUGAACUCUUUGCUUCUGUCCCCCACUUAAGUUUAUUCCUCUUUCUCCCACUAGAGUAAGAUCCCCAUCAGCCCACAUACCAAAAUCAUAUGUUAAAGCACAACAUUCCACAACAUCAUCAUAAUAUGUUUUAUCCAUUUCCCUGCCAAACAACACAUUAUCUCUUAUAGUUCCUGUUUGAAUCCAUGCAGUUUGUGCAACUAGUGCUUUGGAGCCAUAUGAUUUGAUACUCGAUGAUCCAGAAACCUUUGGAAUCUCUCCCAUGAUGCUGCACAGCUCAAUUUCAAGUGCAACUUCAGAUGUGUCAGAAGCGUGAUAGCUGGUUAGCUUCUGUUGGUCUUCCUCUCCAAUGAAUUCUUGCAUCCGUUUAACUGAAACCUUUGUUUGAACCACUGUGGAGAUGAGCUCUGGGAGAUUAUAUAUGGGCUCUUGUAAAAUCCGGAAAGUUGCUAGAGCUGAAAGAACUGUGCCCGCUGUUAAUGGCGUGUUUGUCACAACACAAACGCCAAAGGUCACAACUGAAACUAAAGUCGGGGAAGCCCAAAAGAGGAAAGCCACAGCCGAACAUGUAUAAAGAUUUCAGAUGUAGCCUUAAUCCUUGAGUCCUUGGCUUCCAUGAUCUUCGUCUGAAGCUGUUUCUGCCUUCUGGCAAACGGGAUAUUGCUCACCAUCACAACAAUCGUCGCAACAAAAGCAGCCGCCGAAGGAGCAGCACCCAAGUUCAUGUACAAGAUCAGCAAUGCAAAAAUGACCUGAAAGGGAAGUAACCAAAUCCAAUGGAUGAACAUGAAGAAGUCUCCAAUCCUCUCCACAUCAACAUUGAGGAAAUUAAUGACUUUCCCUGUGCUCACACUGCCAUGCUUAACUGUCAAAGAUUUCUUGUAGGUUAAAGCCAUCAGAGCUGCUCUCACUCUAAUCCCAAUGCGGUGAGCCCCAAAAUACCAUUGCCUUUGGGCAAGGGAUUCCACCAUCUUUGCAAAGAAGAAGAUGAAUGAGAGAAGCAAUCCCUUUUGCCAGUUUGAAUUGUCAUGCUUUUCUGACAAGAACUUCACAAAGCUUGUGAUUAUCAUAGGGCCGAUAUAGGAAGCUAUCGUGUUGGUUCCUAUACAAACGAACAGAAUAAAUUUAUGUAUAUGCUAAACAUAAAUAAAAACCCGCCAUGUUUAACGUCCCA